AUGGUUGUGGAAGAGGCGAUGGAUGGCGACAUGAGCUUGUCGAACAUGGUGCUGAGCUUCCUGGAGGAGGGGGAGACGGAGAGAUGGCCGGAGAACGACGACAACGACGACGAGGAGGAGGAGGGAUCCAGCGGCGGCGGUUCCGCCGAGAGCAAGGCCUUCUGGCGCGCCCAGCACUCCCAGCUUCACGAGGCCUUGGGCAAGACCAGCACGGCCGAGAGCAGGAUCCGGGCGGUGACGGAGAAGGCCGUGGAGAAGAUGCGCGCCCCCGCGGGGGCCGUCUGCUCCUGCGCGCGGCGCGCGGCCGCCGGCGACUGCCGGAGCUGCAUGCUGCGGCACGUGGUGGAGCGGCUCCGCGACGCCGGGUACAACGGCGCCGUCUGCAGGUCCAAGUGGGCACGGUCCCUCGAUAUCCCCUCAGGCGAGCACAGCUACGUGGACGUGGUGCUGCAGACGCGGAGCGGUAAGGCGGCGCGGGUGGUGGUGGAGCCGAGCUUCCGCGCCGAGUUCGAGGUGGCGCGCGCCGGCGCCGGCUACCGCGCGCUGGUGGCCGCGCUCCCGGAGGCGUUCGUCGGCCGCGCCGACAGGCUGCGCGCCGUCGUCAAGGCCAUGUGCGCCGCCGCCAAGCAGUGCAUGAAGGAGAACAACAUGCACCUGGGGCCCUGGAGGAAGCACAAGUACAUGCAGUCCAAGUGGCUCGGCACGUCCGAGCGGGAGGCACCGGCGGCAAUCGACACCGUGGCCGCCGGCUCGCCGUCGCCGGAGAAGCAGCCCAAGUUCAGGGCGUCCAUGCUGAGCUUCGACUUCGGCCGGGCCCCGGUGGUGGUUGCGUGA
rnacentral:rRNA from 1 species